UCAUUAUCCAUAACGACUCUCGGCAACGGAUAUCUCGGCUCUCGCAUCGAUGAAGAACGUAGCGAAAUGCGAUACUUGGUGUGAAUUGCAGAAUCCCGUGAACCAUCGAGUCUUUGAACGCAAGUUGCGCCCGAAGCCUUUAGGCCGAGGGCACGUCUGCCUGGGUGUCACG
rnacentral:rRNA from 8 species